rnacentral:rRNA from 1 species
GCCUAGGAAUCUGCCUGGUAGUGGGGGACGAACGUUUCGAGAGGAACGCUAAUAACCGCAUACGUCCUACGGGAGAAAGCAGGGACCUCGGGCCUUGCGCUAUCAGAUGAGCCUAGGUCGGAUUAGCUAGUUGGUGAGGUAAUGGCUCACCAAGGCGACGAUCCGUAACUGGUCUGAGAGGAUGAUCAGUCACACUGGAACUGAGACACGGUCCAGACUCCUACGGGAGGCAGCAGCC